rnacentral:tRNA from 1 species
AGCUCCGUAGUGUAUAACAUAUUGGAUUGCAAAUCCGAAGAAGCAGAUUAAUACUCUGCCGGGGCUU